UCAAACAAAUAGGUACACCUUCGUAUAAUUUUGGGGAUAUGGCCCAUGAGUUUCUACCGGACCGCCGUAAAUAGGUCUGACUACGCUGGUGAAUAGAUGACAU
rnacentral:ncRNA from 2 species